UGCUAGUCGAGCGCUUCAAGCCAAAAAGAGGCGCGGCAUACAGCUCAGUAACACGUGGCUAAUCUGCCCUUGGGAUAGGAAUAACCCCGGGAAACUGGGGCUAAUUCCCAAUAGGCGAAGAACUCUGGAAUGAGUCUUUACCAGAAAAGACGCUUGCGUUAUGCUCGUAGGCGUCGCCCAAGGAUGAGGCCGCGACCGAUCAGGUUGUUGGUGAGGUAAUGGCUCACCAAGCCUUUUACCGGUGCGGGCCGUGAGAGCGGGAGCCCGGAGAUGGGCACUGAGACAAGGGCCCAGGCCCUACGGGGCGCAGCAGUCGCGAAAACUUUGCAAUAAGCGAAAGCUUGACAGGGCUAUCCCGAGUGCCAUCCGCUGAGGAAGGCUUUUACCCAGUCUAGAACGCUGGGGGAAUAAGGAGAGGGCAAGUCUGGUGUCAGCCGCCGCGGUAAUACCAGCUCUCCGAGUGGUGUGGAUGUUUAUUGGGCCUAAAGCAUCCGUAGCUGGCCAAGCUAGUCCCCUGUUAAACCCACCGAAUUAAUCGUUGGAUUGCGGGGGAUACUGCUCGGCUAGGGGACGAGAGAGGCCGACGGUAUUCUCGGGGUAGGGGUGAAAUCCUAUAAUCCCGGGAAGACCACCAGUGGCGAAGGCUGUCGGCUAGAACGAGCCCGACGGUGAGGGAUGAAAGCUGGGGGAGCGAACCGGAUUAGAUACCCGGGUAGUCCCAGCUGUAAACGAUGCAGGCUAGGUGUUUGGACGGCCACGUGCCGUUCUAGUGCCGCAGGAAGCUGUUAAGCCUGCCGCCUGGGGAGUACGAUCGCAAGGUUGAAACUUAA
rnacentral:rRNA from 1 species